rnacentral:rRNA from 1 species
CGAACGGCAGCACGGACUUCGGUCUGGUGGCGAGUGGCGAACGGGUGAGUAACAUUUCGGAACGUAUCCCUAAUGGGGGAUAACUAAUCGAAAGGUUGGCUAAUACCGCUUACGCCCUAGGGGGGAAAGCUGGGGAUCGCAAGACCUGGGGUUGAUGGAGCGGCCGAUGUCUGAUUAGCUAGUUGGUGAGGUAAAGGCUCACCAAGGCGACGAUCAGUAGCUGGUCUGAUAGGACGACCAGCCACACUGGAACUGAGACACGGUCCACACUCCUACGGGAGGCAGCAGUGGGGAAUUUUGGACAAUGGGCGCCAGCCUGAUCCAGCCGUUCCACGUGAGUGAAGAAGGCCUUCGGAUUGUAAAGCCCUUUCUCAAGGGAAGAAAACUUACCCUCUAACAUAGGGUGAGGUCGACGGUACCUUGAUAAGAAGCACCGGCUAACUACGUGCCAGCAGCCGCGGUAAUACGUAGGGUGCGAGCGUUAAUCGGAAUUACUGGGCGUAAAGCGUGCGCACGCGGCCUUGAAGGUCAGAUGUGAAAUCCCCGAGCUCAACUUGGAAACUGCGUUUGAAACUCCAAGGCUAGAAUAUGUCCUAUGGGGGUAGAAUUCCACGUGUAGCAGUGAAAUGCGUAGAGAUGUGGAGGAAUACCAAUGGCUAAUGCAGCCUCCUGGAAUAAUAUUGACGCUCAUGCACGAAUUGCGUGACGCAGCAAACACGAUUAGAUACCCUGCUAGUCCACGCCCUACACGAUGUCUACUAGUUGUUGGUGGAGUAAAAUCCAUGAUGACGCAUCUAACGCGUGAAGUACACCGCCUGCGGAGUACGGGCGCAGAUGAAGACUCAAAUGAAUUGACGG